CGAGGUACCCUAUGCGAGGCACCCAUCUGCAGUCAAGAUGGCCGACAAGGGCGCCGCCAUAUAUCCAAUCCAUACCGGAAGUCCCAAGCGCAAGUUUCUUCUUCAUGUUGUAGUGCUUAUUCGGUGUAUAAUGGAUUAUGAACAGAGCGCGGGGUAACGAUGCACCCUUCUAUAAUUGAGGACGGCGACAGGCUGAAGUGCACAACCGUGUCACCAUCUGUGUUUGCUUGUCCUGUCUGCCCCAGAUUCACAACCAAAAGUGGAAGUGUCAUCCAGAGGCACUUGCUGAAUCAUGCGGCUAAUGCAGUGCAUUUCAAGGAAAAGAUCAUCUGCAGAUGCAAUCUGCCCUGCAGAGAUGGAGGCCAUUUUCACUGUCCAUUUUGUGGAACUACAAUAAUCCGGAAAGAUACCAUUCUGCCCCAUCUUAUACAGUGCAAAAAUAAAUGUGACAUGGCCAAGCUCACCUCGGCUCCACCUUCUCAGCCGCCCUCACCAGAGACCCACCCUACUGUUUUAUCAUCAAUGAGUGUGGAACAUUCAUACACACUCCCACCUUCUGUGUCUGUUGUCAAAAUUGACCAUUCCUACACACAAACAGCAUCCCUAAAGAACCCAGAUCUACCUCAGUCAACCCCAGCUCCAACCUUAGAGGACCCCAUUGCUCCAAAGGAAGAAGUAACACAGGAUGUGCCACCAACCCAUGUGAGGUGCCCGCACUGCCCAUUGGUUUUGUACAAGAGAAAUUUGUUUUUACAUAUUCAAAGAAAACAUGGCCAAGUAAAAGACACAACAUCACAGUGUCACUUACAAAAUACAUCCGUUGACCAAAGUAAAGGCCUCUUGACCGUCAGAAAAACUUCCAGAGGAUUGAGUGUUCCGGUGCAUGUGCAGCGCAAGACAUGGGGACAGCAACAUGUGAUGAGAUGUGAGAUGGAUGUUUGUUUUUCUACUUUGGAAUAUUUGGCGUUGGAACACAAUAAAAUGUUUGUCACAAAAAAGUCCAAGUCAAGUUAUUAAUGUUGCAUGAUGGUGUAAUGU